UAAGGAAUAUUGGACAAUGGUCGGAAGACUGAUCCAGCCAUGCCGCGUGAAGGACGAAGGCGCUCAGCGUUGUAAACUUCUUUUGGAUGGGGAUAAUAACCUCGAUUAAUCGGGGCUUGAAGGUACCAUCAGAAUAAGCACCGGCUAACUCCGUGCCAGCAGCCGCGGUAAUACGGAGGGUGCGAGCGUUAUCCGGAAUCACUGGGUUUAAAGGGUGCGUAGGCGGCGAGGUAAGUCAGUUGUGAAAUUCCCCGGCUUAACCGGGUGGACUGCGAUUGAUACUGCUUUGCUUGAAACAGGUUGAGGUAAGCGGAAUGUGACAUGUAGCGGUGAAAUGCAUAGAUAUGUCAUAGAACACCGAUUGCGAAGGCAGCUUGCUGGGCCUGAUUUGACGCUGAGG
rnacentral:rRNA from 1 species